GGGUUUUGGAGGUGUUCCAAGCGAAGCGAGAGGGUUAAGUAUCACGCGAGAGAACAAAAGCGAACUCGAUGCGAGCCUAGCCCAUGUGGGCCCACCAGAGGAAGGCCCGGCCCAAGAGCAAAGCAUCGGGUUCGCGUCUUCGCGAGGGAGGAAGGAAGGAAGCAAAAUGCUGACGUGUACAUAAACCGCUCGUCGGGAAAAAUGCCACUCCUCCCCGCGCCGUUCCGACCUCUCGCUCCCGCCGCCGCCGCGGCCUCCGCCGCACCGCGCCGCGCCACCGCCGGAGAGGGGGGCCGCUCGUCGCUCACCGGGGCGUUCUGUUCCUAAGCAUCGGCGCCGCCAGCGCCGCCGCCGUCGCCUGCAGGACGGGGUGCGCCUUCUCCCGCCGCCGCUUCCCCUUCCUCGGGGUAAGAGGUCUCAGCUCUGCUCGGAUGGAGUCCGCUUCCACCACCGUGCCAUCCAUUGUUGUGUAUGUGACUGUUCCAAACAGGGAAGCAGGGAAGAAGCUGUCACAGAGCAUCAUCAGUGAGAAACUAGCUGCUUGUGUCAAUAUAGUGCCUGGCAUUGAAUCUGUUUAUUGGUGGGAGGGAAAGGUGCAAACUGAUGCUGAAGAGUUACUCAUAAUCAAGACUAGAGAAUCUCUUCUAGAUGCCUUGACUGAACAUGUCAAAGCUAACCAUGAAUACGAUGUUCCUGAAGUUAUCGCUCUUCCCAUAACUGGUGGUAACACCAAGUACCUGGAGUGGAUCAAGAACAGCACCAAGGCAAACUGAUCUGGCAUUCACCCUGUUGUAUACGCGCGCUGCAGACCCGCAGCUCAAAAAUAUCCAACAACAUGAAGUAACUGAUCGGAUGUUCUCUGUUUGGCCUAUGUAUCACAGUGACAUUUGCUGCAAGGAAUAUAUGUGUGGUUGCCAUCUUGUGAGUUCUGAUGAGUAA